CCUACGGGAGGCAGCAGUGAGGAAUAUUGCUCAAUGGCCGUAAGGCUGAUCCAGCCAAGUAGCGUGAGGGAAGACUGCCCUAUGCGCUGUAAACCUCUUCUACGCGGGGGUAAAGGUGUCCACGUGCGGAUGUUUGCAGGUACCGCAUGAAUAAGGACCGGCUAAUUACGUGCCAGCAGCCGCGGUAAUACGGAGGGUUCGGGCGUUAUCCGGAUUUAUUGGGUGUAAAGGGAGCGUAGGCCGGUCUUUAAGCGUGCCGUGAAAUUCUGGGGCUUAACCAGGAGAGUGCGGGGGGAACUGGCGAGCUUGAGUGCAGGGAAGGCAGGCGGAAUUCGUGGUGUAGCGGUGAAAUGCUUAGAUAUCACGAAGAACCCCGAUGGCGAAGGCGGCCUGCUGGAGCGUUACUGACGCUGAGGCUCGAAAGCGUGGGUAGCGAACAGGAUUAGAUACCCCUGUAGUC
rnacentral:rRNA from 1 species